UGGCGCACUCAGAGUUGCUUCUAGUUCUUUAGAACCAAGUUAGAACAUGCAGCAAGUAACGUCACAUGCAUUUGUAUUAUUCCGAGUGUGAUAUUGCUGCUCAUUUCGUGGAAGAAAAGAAAGAUAGUGAUCCAUAUCAUGGCUGGUUCUGCGGACCUUUGAAACCACAUACUGGUUUAAAAUAAUUUGCAUAAUGUGGCCAAUCAUGUGAUUUUAACUAUCCUAAGAUUUUUUUCAUACUAACUUUGAGUAUCCUUUUUUUAGAGGCAAUUUUAUUCGAGUAUUUGGGAUCCCAUACAUAGGGGCAUGGUUCUUCUAGCACCCGCUUUUUCCAUAGUCUAAAACUCGACACCACAGGUUAAGCAAAAUAAGUAUUUGCAACUUCAACCGAGCAUAUAUUAAUUUCUGUGUACUUUUUUUUUCCCCUAACUUUUUUAUGCAGAGUAACUUGUCUGCUUCAUUCCAUACCUUCCACAAACUGAACUAUCUUGUCCCUUGUUACAACUUCAUAGUGAAGGUCCUUGAUAGUAUAUUUUUGUCA